rnacentral:rRNA from 1 species
AGUGAACGCUGGCGGUAGGCCUAACACAUGCAAGUCGAACGGCAGCACAGUAAGAGCUUGCUCUUACGGGUGGCGAGUGGCGGACGGGUGAGGAAUACAUCGGAAUCUACUUUUUCGUGGGGGAUAACGUAGGGAAACUUACGCUAAUACCGCAUACGACCUACGGGUGAAAGCAGGGGAUCUUCGGACCUUGCGCGAUUGAAUGAGCCGAUGUCGGAUUAGCUAGUUGGCGGGGUAAAGGCCCACCAAGGCGACGACCCGUAGCUGGUCUGAGAGGAUGAUCAGCCACACUGGAACUGAGACACGGUCCAGACUCCUACGGGAGGCAGCAGUGGGGAAUAUUGGACAAUGGGCGCAAGCCUGAUCCAGCCAUACCGCGUGGGUGAAGAAGGCCUUCGGGUUGUAAAGCCCUUUUGUUGGGAAAGAAAAGCAGCAGGUUAAUACCCCGCUGUUCUGACGGUACCCAAAGAGUAAGCACCGGCUAACUUCGUG